rnacentral:rRNA from 1 species
GACGAACCGUGCGAACGUUAUUCGGAAUCACUGGGCUUAAAGCGCGUGUAGGCGGGCCGCCGCGUCGGCUGCUGAAAUCCCCCGGCUCAACCGGGGAACGGGCAUCGAUACGGGCGGCCUCGAGGGGGGUAGGGGGACCUGGAACUUCCGGUGGAGCGGUGAAAUGCGUUGAGAUCGGAAGGAACGCCCGUGGCGAAAGCGAGGUCCUGGACCCUUUCUGACGCUGAGACGCGAAAGCCAGGGGAGCGAACGGG